rnacentral:rRNA from 1 species
UACGUAGGGGGCAAGCGUUGUCCGGAAUUAUUGGGCGUAAAGAGCGCGUAGGCGGUCCGGUAAGUCGGCUGUGAAAGUCAAGGGCUCAACCCUUGAAAGCCGGCCGAUACUGUCGGACUAGAGUCCGGAAGAGGCGAGUGGAAUUCCCGGUGUAGCGGUGAAAUGCGCAGAUAUCAGGAGGAACACCGAUGGCGAAGGCAGGUCUCUGGGCAUUAACUGACGCUGAGGAGCGAAAGCAUGGGGGAGCGAACAGG